CCUACGGGAGGCAGCAGUGAGGAAUAUUUGUCAAUGGGCGCGAGCCUGAACCCGCCAAGUAGCGUGAAGGCUGACUGCCCUACGGGUUGUAACCUUCUUUUAUAAAGGAAUACAGUGAGGCACGUUUGCCUUUUGUAUGUAUUUUUUGAAUAAGGAUCGGCUCACUCCGGUCCAGUCGCCGCGGUAAUACGGAGGAUCCGAGCGUUAUCCGGAUUUAUUGGGGUUAAAGGGAGCGUAGAUGGGUUGUUAAGUCAGUUGUGAAAGUUUGCGGCUCAACCGUAAAAUUGCAAUUGAUACUGGCAGCCUUGAGUACAGUAGAGGUAGGAGGAAUUCGUGGGGUAGCGGUGAAAUGCGUAGAUAUCACGAAGAACUCCGAUUGCGAAGGCAGCCUACUAAACUGCCACUGACAUUGAUGCUCGAAAGUGUGGGUAUCAAACAGGAUUAGAUACCCCUGUAGUC
rnacentral:rRNA from 1 species